rnacentral:rRNA from 1 species
GUGAGGAAUAUUGGUCAAUGGUCGGAAGACUGAACCAGCCAUGCCGCGUGCAGGAUGAAGGCCCUACGGGUCGUAAACUGCUUUUAAGAGGGAAGAAACCUGAAUACGUGUAUUCAGCUGACAGUACCUUUUGAAUAAGCAUCGGCUAACUCCGUGCCAGCAGCCGCGGUAAUACGGAGGAUGCAGGCGUUAUCCGGAUUUAUUAGGUUUAAAGGGUGCGUAGGCGGGACUAUAAGUCAGUGGUGAAAUCCUGCAGCUUAACUGUAGCACUGCCAUUGAUACUGUAGACCUUGAAUUUAGUUGAAGUAGGCGGAAUGUGUAGUGUAGCGGUGAAAUGCUUAGAUAUUACACAGAACACCAAUUGCGAAGGCAGCUUACUAAGCUAACAUUGACGCUGAUGCACGAAAGCGUGGGUAGCGAACAGGAUUAGAUACCCUUGUAGUCC